rnacentral:rRNA from 1 species
GAUGAACGCUGGCGGCGUGCCUAAUACAUGCAAGUCGAGCGAACAGAUGAGGAGCUUGCUCCUCUGACGUUAGCGGCGGACGGGUGAGUAACACGUGGAUAACCUACCUAUAAGACUGGGAUAACUUCGGGAAACCGGAGCUAAUACCGGAUAAUAUAUUGAACCGCAUGGUUCAAUAGUGAAAGACGGUUUUGCUGUCACUUAUAGAUGGAUCCGCGCCGCAUUAGCUAGUUGGUAAGGUAACGGCUUACCAAGGCAACGAGGCGUAGCCGACCUGAGAGGGUGAUCGGCCACACUGGAACUGAGACACGGUCCAGACGCCUAAGGGAGGCAGCAGUAGGGAAUCGGCCGCAAUGGGCGAAAGCCUGACGGAGCAGCGCCGCGUGAGUGAUGAAGGUCUUCGGAGCGUAAAACUCUGUUAUUAGGGAAGAACAAAUGUGUAAGUAACUAUGCACGUCUUGACGGUACCUAAUCAGAAAGCAACGGCUAACUACGUG